rnacentral:rRNA from 1 species
AACGAACGCUGGCGGCAGGAUUAACACAUGCAAGUCGAGCGCCCCGCAAGGGGAGCGGCAGACGGGUGAGUAACGCGUGGGAAUCCACCCAUCUCUACGGAAUAACGCAUGGAAACGUGUGCUAAUACCGUAUACGUCCUUCGGGAGAAAGAUUUAUCGGAGAUGGAUGAGCCCGCGUUGGAUUAGCUAGUUGGUGGGGUAAAGGCCUACCAAGGCGACGAUCCGUAGCUGGUCUGAGAGGAUGAUCAGCCACACUGGGACUGAGACACGGCCCAAACUCCUACGGGAGGCAGCAGUGGGGAAUAUUGGACAAUGGGCGCAAGCCUGAUCCAGCCAUGCCGCGUGAGUGAUGAAGGCCCUAGGGUUGUAAAGCUCUUUCACCGGUGAAGAUAAUGACGGUAACCGGAGAAGAAGCCCCGGCUAACUUCGUGCCAGCCGCCGCCGUAAGAC